UACGGGGGGGGCAAGCGUUGUUCGGAAUUACUGGGCGUAAAGGGCGCGUAGGCGGCCUGCUAAGUCGGGUGUGAAAACUCUGGGCUCAACCCAGAGCCUGCAUUCGAUACUGACGGGCUAGAGUUCUGGAGGGGAAAGCGGAAUUCCUGGUGUAGCGGUGAAAUGCGUAGAUAUCAGGAGGAACACCGGUGGCGAAGGCGGCUUUCUGGACAGAAACUGACGCUGAGGCGCGAAAGCUAGGGGAGCAAACAGG
rnacentral:rRNA from 1 species